rnacentral:lncRNA from 1 species
UCUAAGGCCAUCUCCAACCCAGCAUCAAAUUUUGCAUCAUUUUGCACCAAAUUUUGCAUCAAAUCUUGCACCAAACUAAAAUUCAUCUCCAACCAUUACACCAAAAAUUACACCAAAUGAACAGUGUUUUACCAUUUUCUUCCUUUUUUUAUUCUUUAUAAUUUAUUUAUUCGAAAUAUUAUUUAUUUAAUUAUUUCAUAAAUACAUAAAUUAAUAAAUAAAUAAUUACGUUAAAUUACGAAAAAUAUUAAAUUUAUUAAUAAAUAUAAAAAAUAUAGAACAAUUAAUAAAAAUACUACAACAACGAAAAUAUGAAAUCAUACUAUCAGAAAAUAGUACAAUGCAUUUCGAAUUUGAAUAGACGAUAUUACGAAGUAGCUAAAUUUUUACAAUUUAAUUCUUAGAAUUCAUAUGUUUAUCCCACAAAUGAUCGAUUAAUGCAUUUCGAUUAAUGCACUUUUAAUGUAUCCUUUUUUUAAAAAUAAAAUUAGAUUAUCGUAUGUAUGUCGCUAUUUAAUAUAUUUCAUAUUAAUUUUAAUAAAUAAUCGUGUUUGAUGUAUUUUAAAUUGUUUUCAUUUUUUAAUUAAUUUAUUAAUUAUUAUGUCUUACAUUUAAAAUUAUUUUAAAUACAAAUACAAAUAAUAUUAAUAUUAAUAUUAAUAAAAAAAAUAAUAAUUUAUUGUAUUAAAAAAUAUAUAGCACAAAUGACAUAAAUACCCUCAACAAAUUUAUUUGAAAAAUGUUAAAUAAGGGCAAAAGGGACUUUUACACUUUGCACCAUUUUGCACCAAAAUGGUGCAAAGUUUGGUGUUGGGUUGGAACAAUUUUGCACCAAAAAAUGGUGCAAAAUGGUGCAAUGGUGUUGUGGUUGGAGAUGCUCUAAGUUCUCUCUCUUGAGCCCCCAUAGAAUCCCUUUCUUCCACCUAUCUCUGUCGCUUGCGAGCACCGAAAAUUUCUGCAGAUUGACGUGGUAAUCUUGAAUUUAAAGAUUACAUAUUUAUUUGUGCUUAAUUUGAUAUCUCUAUUUCAUUUUAUUGGUUUGAUUUUGGUGGUUCAUGUGACCCGUUCUCUGCAAUUCGUUUUUCUCGUCCCUAAUCUACCUCUCAUUGGUUCUUGUUCAUUUUCUGCCUUCAUCCUGCGAAGUCUACUGGUUUCGGAGCUCAAAAUUCAAACUCGGGAUACUGCUUCAAAGAUGAUGGCAUGUACAAAGUUUGAGGGUAAACGAUUUGGCGAGAAAAAUAAUUUAAAUAUUUUGUGAAGUACAGUUGAAGUUGUUCUCUUGCAAUAGGGACUUUACAAAGAUUUGUAAGGUAAGAUGUCACAAGGCAUGAAGAAGCGGAGUUGGAAGAAUUGAAACUGGAGACAGUCAACACCAUUAGAUUGGCUUGUACUUAGGUAAGAAUAAUGUUGAACAAAUAGGGAAUAAAAAAAUAGACUGAUGUGGCAGCUAAUAAUUGAGUAUUUUUAUGAUUUUUUUUUUCCCCUUUCUUCAGUGAAAAAUUGUCAAGUGUAAUUUGGAAAUACUUUUCAGUCAUUGACUUUGACCACGUAGCAUGAUUGCUUAGGUAAAUUAUAG